CGGGUGAGUAACGCGUGGGUAACCUGCCUUAUACAGGGGGAUAACAGUUAGAAAUGACUGCUAAUACCGCAUAAGCGCACAGUCUCGCAUGGGACAGUGUGAAAAACUAAGGUGGUAUAAGAUGGACCCGCGUCUGAUUAGCUAGUUGGUGGGGUAAAGGCCUACCAAGGCGACGAUCAGUAGCCGACCUGAGAGGGUGAUCGGCCACAUUGGGACUGAGACACGGCCCAA
rnacentral:rRNA from 1 species